rnacentral:rRNA from 1 species
UACGGAGGGUGCAAGCGUUAAUCGGAAUUACUGGGCGUAAAGCGCACGCAGGUGGCUGAGUCAGUCGAUUGUGAAAGCCCUGGGCUUAACCUGGGAAUUGCAGUCGAUACUACUCAGCUAGAGUAUGGGAGAGGGCAGUGGAAUUCCCGGUGUAGCGGUGAAAUGCGUAGAUAUCGGGAGGAACAUCAGUGGCGAAGGCGGCUGCCUGGCCCAAUACUGACACUGAGAGACGAAAGCUAGGGGAGCGAAUGGG